CCUACGGGUGGCAGCAGUGAGGAAUAUUGGUCAAUGGACGAGAGUCUGAACCAGCCAAGUCGCGUGAAGGAUGACUGCCCUAUGGGUUGUAAACUUCUUUUGUCAGGGAAUAAAACGAGGCACGUGUCCCUUUUUGCAUGUACCUGAUGAAUAAGCAUCGGCUAACUCCGUGCCAGCAGCCGCGGUAAUACGGAGGAUCCGAGCGUUAUCCGGAUUUAUUGGGUUUAAAGGGUGCGUAGUUGGGUUGUUAAGUCAGCUGUGAAAGUGUGGGGCUCAACCGGAAAAUUGCAUUUGAUACUGGCAGUCUGGAGUGCAGGUGAGGUAGGCGGAAUGCGUGGUGUAGCGGUGAAAUGCAUAGAGAUCACGAAGAACCCCGAUUGCGAAGGCAGCUUAC
rnacentral:rRNA from 1 species